rnacentral:rRNA from 1 species
GGCAGUGGGGAAUAUUGGACAAUGGGCGAAAGCCUGAUCCAGCCAUGCCGCGUGUGUGAAGAAGGUCUUCGGAUUGUAAAGCACUUUAAGUUGGGAGGAAGGGCAGUAAAUUAAUACUUUGCUGUUUUGACGUUACCGACAGAAUAAGCACCGGCUAACUCUGUGCCAGCAGCCGCGGUAAUACAGAGGGUGCAAGCGUUAAUCGGAAUUACUGGGCGUAAAGCGCGCGUAGGUGGUUCGUUAAGUUGGAUGUGAAAUCCCCGGGCUCAACCUGGGAACUGCAUUCAAAACUGACGAGCUAGAGUAUGGUAGAGGGUGGUGGAAUUUCCUGUGUAGCGGUGAAAUGCGUAGAUAUAGGAAGGAACACCAGUGGCGAAGGCGACCACCUGGACUGAUACUGACACUGAGG